rnacentral:rRNA from 1 species
GACGAACGCUGGCGGCGUGCUUAACACAUGCAAGUCGAACGGAAAGGCCCUGCUUUUGUGGGGUGCUCGAGUGGCGAACGGGUGAGUAACACGUGAGUAACCUGCCCUUGACUUUGGGAUAACUUCAGGAAGCUGGGGCUAAUACCGGAUAGGAGCUCCUGCUGCGUGGUGGGGGUUGGAAAGUUUCGGCGGUUGGGGAUGGACUCGCGGCUUAUCAGCUUGUUGGUGGGGUAGUGGCGUACCAAGGCUUUGACGGGUAGCCGGCCUGAGAGGGUGACCGGCCACAUUGGGACUGAGAUACGGCCCAGAAUCCUACGGGAGGCAGCAGUGGGGAAUAUUGCACAAUGGGCGGAAGCCUGAUGCAGCAACGCCGCGUGCGGGAUGCCGGCCUUCGGGUUGUAACCCGCUUUCGCCUGUGACGAAGCGUGAGUGACGGUAAUGGGUAAAGAAGCACCGGCUAACUACGUG